CUACAAUGUUAGAAAAGGAGUUCCACGGGGAUCUGCAACUAACUUUUCAAUUUUCCGAUUGUGUAUGUACGAUAAUGACAUGCAGUCAGUCGUGGACCUUUUGAAGAUUUUGAUAUUUUCUGAAUUCACAUUUUUAUUUGGUUGCAGAAUGCCUUGUGAGGUGAAGCCCCGGUUCCUGGUUCUGUAUGGGUCUCAGAAAGGCCAGGCACAGUCCAUAGCCGAGGGGAUAGCAGACGAGGCUGAGGAGAGGGGACUGGUUGCUGACAUCUACUGCUUGAGUGAAGGAGGGAAGUUUAACUUGGAGAAGGAGAGUGCACCUGUGGUGUUUGUUGUGUCUACCACUGGGGAUGGGGACCCACCAGACACGGCCCUGAAGUUUGUGAAGAACAUUAAAAAAAAGACCCUUCCCAGUGACCACUAUUCACACCUCUGCUAUGCUCUUAUAGCUCUGGGUGAUACAAACUAUGAAAAUUUCUGCAACUGUGGGAAGACUAUUGAUGGCCGUCUACAGGAACUUGGUGCUAAACAUUUCUACGCAACAGGACAUGCAGAUGAUGGUGUAGGGCUUGAGUUGGUGUUGGACCCCUGGCUUGAAGGACUCUGGGAGGCCAUCAGAGGAGCGUUAUCCAAGAUGGCCACCCCUCAGCCUGAGAGGGAUGGCCAUGUAAGGGACCUGAGAGCAUCGUUGAACGAAACACCCGAAUUGUCAGUGACAGAUGUCAAACUCCACCUCAUGAGUCUUAAAGAAUCAGAACCUCAGAGCUCUGGCUCACUCAGAACAGCAGCAGAGUCAGAGAGUACUAAGACUGAGCCCAAAUCAGCUUCUCUGAAUGUUACAGAAGCAGCCUCUGAGACAGGGAGUGCAGUUACUGAUGUUAGACCAGUGUCAUUGACCAGCAACAAUAGGACUGCUCCUAAACUAGAUGGUGUUGUCACUGAUCCCGAGUCAGUGUUAGAGACACAGAGUGGAGCACCCUCUGCUGUUGUAGAGGCCUCUCUGACAUGCUCCUUGCCUCCACUGUCUGAGUCUGUCCUCAAUGUCCCUGCUCUGCCUCCAGCCUACCUGGAUGUCACACUCCAGGAAGCCACCAUAGAAGAAGAGACCAGUGCUCCGGUCAGUAAGGAAACCCUACACGAGGUUCCGAUCUCCAGGGCAGUCCAGUUGACCAGAGAUGACUCGGCUAAAACAGCCCUUCUGAUAGAGCUGGACAUCUCAGCCCAUCCGAUGGCCUACCAGCCUGGGGACUCGCUUGACGUUCUCUGCCCAAACAGAGCCUCUGAGGUGGGGGAGCUUCUCCAGAGACUCUGCCUGCAGGACCAGAGGAGCCACCGUGUCCAGCUCUCACUGCGCAAAGACACCAAGAAGAAAGCUGCUCAUCUCCCCUCCUACAUCCCAGAGAACAGCACUCUAACCUACAUGCUCACCUGGAGUCUGGAGCUCAGGACUGUCCCUAAGAAGGCAUUUCUUCGUUCCCUGGUAGAGUGUACAGAAGACAGUGGCGAGAGGAGGAGACUACAGGAGCUGUGUAGUAAACAGGGAUCAGCCGACUACAACCUCUAUGUCAGAGACCCCAGCCUCGGACUAUUGGACCUGCUCAGGGCUUUUCCUGCCUGCCAACCCCCUCUCAGUCUUCUCAUAGAACAUUUGCCUAAACUGCAACCAAGAACGUACUCAGCGGCAAGCUCCAGUUUCAGACAUCCAGGUCAGCUGCACUUUGUGUUCAACGUCAUAGAGUUCCCAGCAUGCACUUGGAGACCCACGGGGAGGCAGGGCCUGUGUACUGGUUGGCUCUAUGACCUCGUCAACCCCAUUCUGUUGAACCCUAGGAAGGCUCAGCCCUCCAGCACCCCGACCCUCCCUAAGGUCUUUGUGAGUCUGCGUGAGAACUGCUCCUUCCACCUGCCCUCUGACCUCUCAAAACCCCUCAUCAUGAUUGGACCAGGCACCGGCGUCGCGCCCUUCAUUGGUUUCCUACAACAAAGGGAGAAGGAGAGGGAGGAAAACCCGGAGGCAGAGUUUGGUGAGACCUGGCUGUUCUUCGGUUGUCGCCAUAGAGAUCGAGACUUCCUGUUUAGGCCGCCAGUUGCAGACCCCUACUGUAUGGGCUACUGAGCAACACUGAGAGGAGCUGCAGGGGUUUGUGGGUAAAGGAACCCUGAACCAUUUGAAAGUGUGUUUCUCGCGAGACACUCAGAUGGGGACAGAGACCAAGACAGGUCCUAGAUACGUCCAACAUAACCUGCUCCUCCAUGCCAAAGAUCUCACCAACCUCCUCCUCAAGGAGAAUGGAUACCUCUACGUCUGCGGUGAUGCUAAGAACAUGGCUAAAGACGUGAACGAAACCCUGAUAGAGAUGGUAUCAGCAGAGCUUCAGCUGGAUAAACUAGAUGCCAUGAAGAGAUUGGCUGGACUCAGGGAGGAGAAACACUAUUUACAGGACAUAUGGUGCUGAGUGGAUGAAUCUUCAACAUAUCUUAUGUCACAGACCGAAAAUAUCCAUAUAUCAUUUUCCUUUAAGCAACACAAGCUGACCAUAUGGAUUGGGUUGCAUGUUGUUCCUCUUGCCUCAUAGCACCUGACCAUAAACUUCAUAAACUGACCAUAGAAGAUUGAGUUUCAAGUACUGUAGUUGUUUUAUAGUGGAAUUAUGCAAGACUAACACACUGCCUGUUUAGCUUACUCCUCAUCCUACUUCACAUUCUUGUCUUCCAAUACUUUUUUUGCUGUGUGCAAAAAUGUGUCCAAAAUACAAAAGGUGUGUUUGCUUGAACAGG